rnacentral:rRNA from 1 species
GAGUUUGAUCCUGACUCAGAAUGAACGCUGGCGGCGUGCCUUACACAUGCAAGUCGAGCGAGGCCGGGUAGCAAUACCCGAGUCGAGCGGCGAACGGGUGAGUAACACGUGGAUAACCUGCCCAGAGGUGGGGGAUAACCCGGGGAAACUCGGGCUAAUACCGCAUGAUACCGAGAGGUCAAAGGGGGCUCGCAAGGGCUCUCGCCAUUGGAGGGGUCCGCGUCCGAUUAGCUAGUUGGUAGGGUAAUGGCCUACCAAGGCGACGAUCGGUAGCCGGCCUGAGAGGGUGAUCGGCCACACUGGAACUGAGACACGGUCCAGACUCCUACGGGAGGCAGCAGUGGGGAAUUUUGCGCAAUGGGCAAACGCCUGACGCAGCAACGCCGCGUGGAGGAUGAAGGUCCUUGGAUUGUAAACUCCUGUCAGCAGGGAAAAAGCAAUUUAGCCUAAUACGCCAGAGAGUUGAUUGUACCUGCAGAGGAAGCCCCGGCUAACUCUGUGCCAGCAGCCGCGGUAAUACAGAGGGGGCAAGCGUUAUUCGGAAUUAUUGGGCGUAAAGGGCGCGUAGGCGGCUUGGCAAGUGGAAGGUGAAAUCCCCCGGCUUAACCGAGGAACUGCCUUCCAGACUGCUUUGCUUGAGGCCGGGAGAGGUGAGUGAAAUUCCCAGUGUAGCGGUGAAAUGCGUAGAUAUUGGGAGGAACACCAGUGGCGAAGGCGGCUCACUGGACCGGUUCUGACGCUGAGGCGCGAAAGCGUGGGGAGCAAACGGGAUUAGAUACCCCGGUAGU